GGGGAGGAAGGAGGCCUCCUACCAACCAUGGUAGGAAAACAUGCACACACACUUUGGUUGUUUAGUUGCUUUGGUGAAAAUGACAUGAGGACAUCCUUGCAGACAUUAUUUAUGGACAAGGCUCCAGCACCCCCCGCGACCCUCGUGAGGAUAAGCGGUAGAAAAUGAAGUUACUCGAACACGACAAAAAUAAUACUGCAUGAAAAAAAAUCUAAAUUAAUAACAAAUAAGAAAAAGAAGUGAAUCAAUGCAAACGAUGAUAAGCAAAAAAAGUAAUUUAGCCAAAAUAAAGUAGGUCGUUUUGCAGGAAUGAACAUUAAAAGUAGGAAAAUAUAAAAUAAAAAGGUAAAAAAUGUUUUUAUAUAUUAUGAGAAAAAUGUGAUGACAAUAAAGGCCUACUAUAUGACGCAAAUAAAGUCAAAAUAUGAUGAAAUUUGCUAUAUGAUGACAAGGAAAAAAGUAAUUUAGCCAAAAUAAAGUAGGCCGUUUUGCAGGAAUGAACGUUAAAAGUAGGAAAAUAUAAAAUAAAAGGUAAAAAAAAUUUGAAUUAUAUUAUGAGAAAAAUGUGAUGACAAUAAAGGCAUACUAUAUAACGCAAAUAAAGUCAAAAUAUGAUGAAAUUUGCUACACGAUGACAAGGAAAAAAGUAAUUUAGCCAAAAUAAAGUAAGUCGUUUUGCAGGAAUGAACGUUAAAAGUAGAAAAAUAUAAAAUAAAGGUAAAAAAAUGUGAAUAUAUUAUGAGAAAAAUGUGAUGACAAUAAAGCAUAGCAAGCUACCGAGCUAAAGCAAGAUGUUGGAUCCAUGAUGCAGCAAGAGAGAAUUAUACCAUUUCUAAUGUUGGCGGUUUGACCUUGAAAUAAAUUAUUUUUAUCAAGAUGAAUUCCGAUGGGCACGUCAAUUAGUGCCGUAAUGGAGGUCAUACUGGGCCGUUCUUUUGUAUUAGUUUGUAUUUUUGGGAAUAUGACAUGUUAGAUGCUGUUAGUGUGCUGUGGGGACGGGUUGUUUAAUCACAAACAUAACACCAAUGAUGAAGAUGAUAAGUGACGGCAGGAAUUUGAGAGGAAGUUCAAAUGUGACGCGCUAUAUUUGGAGGCGGCUAUUUUUAGCUCUCCGCUGUGUAUUUGAAAGACAAAUUAUACACUCCAUACUUCCUGGUUUUACUCAAGAACAUAUAGUGCAUAUUGCACAGGACAGUAAGAUGCAGACGUCUUACAUUAUUAGAAAAUGAACACAUACAACUACUGUAGUACACAAAUAACACGCACACAUAACUGUGUCUGUACUUGAAAUGUACUAGUUCCAAGGCUAGACCACAUAGAACAUGUGAAUAUAUAGAACACGGAAACAUAACAUUCAAUGUAUAACAAAAAUGUCAGAAGACUGUGUGACCUUUCCGUGGGUCAGUCAGGUCACGCUAUUGGCUGAAAAAUAACUUGAUAUUGUCAUUGCUGCCCUCUAGUGCCCAGAAUAGUGAAAUCUGUGACAUCAUCAUUGUGUAGUGCUAUAUAAUUUAAAACUAAAAUCAUUCACAUUUAAAAUAUCUAAUACAUUCACUCAGUUCUUCAUGUAUUUUUUUUUUCAACUUGUGUUUAUUGAAGCAAUCGAAAAAAGGUAUACUGCACAGGUUAGAAUGUCAAUUAAAUGUUCAAUAUAUAUUGUAUAAUUUUUAAAAAGCAGCACAAAAACACAUUGCGUUUGUAUACAACUGAAAAUGUUCAAUAUGAACGUACAUGAACAGAAUAUUAAGGUGUGCCUUUAAAUCAAACAAACAUAUAAUAUUCUCCAUUGUUAUUUGAAUAUAGUAAAAAAAUGCUGCAGCAUCACAAUUGUGAGGGAUUGUAGAACACGGUUAAAUGGACGGAACUAUAACUAUAAUAAUAAAUUCUAAUUCUUUUGAUACCAUUUAUCACGAGCUGAACAAAUGUACACAAAUGCCCUCUCGCUUAAAUAUUGUUCACCGAUCUGGCUAAAUAUGUGUUACUGACCAAUAUCCAAUAUCUCACAGGUAUGGCAUAAUCAAGACGAUGACUAGACAGGACAAUUAUUGCACACGGUGCGCCUUAGAUUGGCCACAAUAAAAGGCCUUUUUAAAGAGGAAGGGGGUUGAAAACCAGGCAGUAUUUGGUGUGACCACUAUUGAUCCCAAAAAUACUGAAUAGGUGACGUGUCUGGUGAGCUUCCAAGAAUUGCGUACAGAUCCUAGGACUAUGGGGCUAUGCAUUAUCAUGUUGAAGCAUGAGGUGAUGGUAGUGGAUGAAUGGCACAAACAACAACAAAACCAUAUUUUGUAUUUCAGAAUGCAAAGAAUGCAUUUCUUGCUAGGCUAUUUCAGUUCGUUCAGUCGUUCGAGUUGGACGAUUCUGGUACCAAUUCCUUUUAAGAUUGAAAUGUAUGAACUUUUCAAUGAAUUUCUCACAAGGCUAUUUUCUACCAGAAUAUAUAUAUAUAUAUAUAUAUAUAUAUAUAUAUAUCGAUAUCAAACCAUUCAACUUGAAUAUAAAUGUUAUUAAGUUUCUUUCCACUAGGUCUCUGGGUCAAAGAUACAGUGUUCCAACAUGUUGGACCAAUAAUAAUAACUCUUUGGUUCCAGCAGCCACUAUUCUGCUGAAUAACCGUUUAUAAUGUUGGUGUUGCUAUUGUAUUUAUUGUUUUUAAUUUUGUAUUUAUUUAUUUAUAUCAGCGUGAUAUAGCUGGCUGUAGAACAAAUUUCCCCUUUGGAGAUAAUAAAGUUUACCUUGACAUUUAUUUUGGAAAACAGUACACAUAUCCUGUUUAUGUGUAGGGGUUAACACACUGUAAACAUACUAAAUAUAUUUAUAAAUAUACCAAUUUGUAAUAGAGUUACUAUAUUUAUAUAUUAGUGUUUAUGUGCAAUGUAUAUCAGGGGUGCACACACUUUUUCAGCAUGCAAGUUACAGGUAAACAUGAUCUCUGUCUUACGAUAAAACAUUUAACCUAUGUAUAAAAUCUAACCAGGGCUGCACGGUGGAGGAGUGGUUUGCAUGUAGGCCUCACAGCUAGGAGACCCGAGUUCAAUUCCACCCUCGCUAUCUCUGUAUGGAGUUUGAAUGUUCUCCCCCCGUGCAUGGUUUUUCUCCGGGUACUCCGGUUUCUAUAUGUGCCCUGUGAUUGGCUGACGACCAGUCCGCCCCUGACCCGAAGACAGCUGGGAUGGGCUCCAGCAGCCCCGGCGACCCUCAUAAGGAACUACUGUAUACUAAUGCUUACUAUUUUUUCUUUGCCGAUUUCUAGUUGGCAGACAGGACAUCAAAACUACAGUAGAAAUCUAAAUUAAAACAUUUUCACAAUCCCAGAAUUGGAAUGUUAGUCAAUGCUCAAGCCCCAACCCUAAUCAUGUGUUCCUGGGGUGCUAAUAAGGGAUAAUAAUCAAUAGAGAAUGAAUUAUGAACGCUCACUAACAGAUUCUGUCAAUACUGAAAACGUUUAAGAUUUCUGAGUUCAGCUCAUGAAAAAUGGGAGCAAAAACAAAAGAGUUGUAUAUUUUUGUUGAGUAUAAAAGGCAACAAUGGCUCAAUUAAAGUCACAUAAAAACACAAAAGUACAGGUGGUCGUCUGGUUACAAUCUUCUAUGUUAGGGUGUUUAGUGAUUUACAAACACGCUCCCAUCAAGUCAUUAAAAACGCAAUAUUGGAACGACUUACACGCUUGCAAGGAUGCCGUUUAUGAUUUGUCUCGCAUGAUGCAUAUGAAAACAGUGCACUACAGAGAUUUUGAAACAUCGCUUAUUAAUUACCUUUUUUGCACUUCUUUGUGUCUCCCAAACCGAAGGCAGGCUCUCCUGGUGGAAAUUCACUCAGGGAAAGUGAUCUUAUUAUAGGCUGGAAGACCAGAAUUAACAUCCUAGUGAGCCUUAUGUUGAUUCAGUACACAUAAAAAUAUUGAAGAUUGAAAUGCCUGUUGUAGGCUCAUACUAGCUCUGUGCGGUGCUGCUCCGGCUCCGUCAGCCGUAUGGCACAACGGAAAGAAUCCGUUUGGGGUCCCACUUUUUUUUUCCGGACGCCGCAGAUACCGCAAACACAUGGGCACUCUCAUAUCAUCAUCAUCAUCGGCGUCAUAUCAAUACAAGAAACUGAUAACGGUUACAGAGACCAUUUGGAAAAUAUCGCUAUACAUUGUAAACUCCAAGAACAAACAACAAUACAGAUUAAUUAAACACUAUGUAAUAAUCAUAAACAUGGAAAAAAUAUACUGGUUUGUAUUUGGCACCAAAAAAAACCCCACAAGUUAAGGCGAGUUAUCACGAGAGCAGAUAUUCACGCAGGAAUGGUCUCUUUUUCAAUUACUUCUUUUCAUUUAAUUCUUGUAUAUAAUGUUUUUAUUUCUAUAUUUUACAUGUCCUUCAUGAUUUCUGUGUCCAGUGCGAGUGACUUAGGUUUUCGUUUUGCUAUAAGAUCCGACUGAUACGUAAACUCAACAUAUCAAAGUCCAUUCAUUCAUAACCUGAAGACCACCUGUAGUCCGUCAGAAACAAAAUAGAAUGUCUUUGGUUUAGUCUAGAUUCAACAUGCUAAAAACAGUAAAUACGUAGAGAAACGACAAUAUCACUUGGGCAGUUUAGUGUUUGGGAUAGCCUCUGGAGUCUGGGGGCACUCUGUUAGGGUGUCCGUAGUAGCCUCCACUCGCAUUUUCCCUAGAAACACCGCAUUAAGUUACAUAUACUGUAUAUAUUUCAUUGAGCAGUAGCAGGCAUGACGUCUACAAAGCUGAUGUUUGGAAAAGCUGCUAAUAAAGGCUUAGAAAAUAAAACUGCCAUAUGAAGAAGACCAUCAAAUGCAUUUACUGGUAUAUGCAUUCAAUGAGAAAAAAAUAAUUUUUUAAAGGGGAAAAGGUUUAACACAACUACUGUGGAAAGUUAUAAUUAUAUAGUACAGUAAAUCACCACUAUUUGUGGGGAUUGUGUCUCAGACUACCUGCGAAUGGCGAAAAACUUAAUUGAGAUGCCCACCAAAGUGCCUGUUUUAGACACUGAAGGAAACCAAAUGAUCACCGUAUUAACUGUGCAACCAAAAUAGCAUCAUUUAAUGUAAAAUAUAAAUAUAAAAUCUUUCAUGUAUUUGAUAUUGUAUUAUUUAAAAGAUCUCGACAGCUGUCCUUUUGGUUCGCUGUUGUCAUUGAAUUGCGCCUCACUUCGUGUGCGCCGAUUACCAGCAGUGCUCACUUAAGCUGAUCUCUGUCAGCUGGCUGAAGCUGGUUGAUUCCUCCACCUUGUCAUUCGCUUGGACUGCUACCCAGCUUUUACGGUAGAGCGUUUUUUUUGUAUGUUCUCGUUCCUGAUUCUCUGCUGUGCUCCUUCAGUUUCGAUGCCAACUUUCAAUAGUCACAAUAGUUCCUGACCUACCUGUGUGACACUGCUGUUUUACCUAAUAGACAGACUGUCCCUUCAUUGUGUCCCUUUUGGCACCAUGACUUUGUGUUUAUCUCCUGGUCUUUGUUAAAACCACAUUUUAUUCCUCCCAUCUGGUACCUAUAUAUACAAAACCUAAUAAUGCCAUCUGUAAAGUUGGAAGUGCAGAAGUAAAACUGUCAAAAUAUGACUUAACUCAUUUCAGCUAAGUGCUCUGAUAUUUGGGUCAAUACAGGCGGUGCCUGGUACUCGAUGCACUUGAGUAAACAUAAUGUUUACUAUGUGAAGACUACUUACAAGUUGCAACUGUCGUUGCGGACGUCUCGAGCCUUGAGGGCCAACUUGGAGAUGCCCAUGCCCACUGGCAUCCUGUCUGGGUAUCGAACGCUGAUCCGGUUGCCCAUCAACUCAUAGCCCUGGUGAGAGCUCUCCUGUUGUGUGAAGUUGAUGAAGGCGCAUUGUUUGAAGGUCAGGACCUUGAUGCUGUGAAUAAAGCCAGCCCUGCGGAGGAAGACAAUUAGUGUUAUUACCACUACAAAAAUAGGAGUAGUGUAUUGGUUGUUUUUGACAUUUUUUGUUUUGUUGGUCUAACUUGCUGAACAGCUUGUUGAGGAUCCACCCGGUCACUGAAACGCUCAAGUUCCCCACCCAGAUUGGGAACAGCUCCCUGGUGGAAAGAGAAACAUCAUUGCCUACACCAAUCACACAUAUUGAAUGGUGGUGCAGUAUAAUAUUUUCAUAUUUACAGUGGAUCCCCACACAUUUGCACAAUCUAUAUUGACGGUUUGACGAUUGAUAUUUUUUCCUCUCUGAAUACAUUUCAUUCACCAAUUCACUCAAUAAUCUUGCUAUAAUAUAUUUGGAUGACGUGAUUUUUUUUCCCUCACAACCCAUCCCGGUCACUGCAUUCCUCAUUCACUGCCCUGCUUGCCAUUGUUGUGUCCAUUAUGUAUGUUUUCCAAUGAUUACACAUACAGGUGACAGCGUACGCAGUGAUAUGAGAAAGUAACACCAAGCAAUUGUGAGACUUUUUUCCAGGAUGCAUUUUAGACGGUUAAGACAGUAGCUGCCCCGCCCACCGGGUCUCAUUUGACCAUCUCAACAACUUGGUUGCAACAAGCAGUAAACAGGCCCCCUGGACAUCCCAACUGCAGCAUCCGGCAGAGACGGUCUGCUUCCGGCCAUGUUCAACUCACUUGAACGCAACUCGUUCAGCAGUUCCCUCGCUUUCUGGACUGUACCGUGUAGCAGUAAGGCGUUGGUGCACUGUGUCCACGUGUAGCCGUCCUCCUGGUUAAAAGAACGCACCCCUUUGACACCACCUUUCCAUUUAUCAUUGCUCAGCUGAU